rnacentral:rRNA from 1 species
CUAGCGGCGGACGGGGUGAGUAAUGCCUGGUAAUAUGCCCUGAUGUGGGGGAUAACCAUUGGAAACGAUGGCUAAUACCGCAUAAUCUCUUCGGAGCAAAGAGGGGGACCUUCGGGCCUCUCGCGUCAGGAUUAGCCCAGGUGAGAUUAGCUAGUUGGUGAGGUAAGAGCUCACCAAGGCGACGAUCUCUAGCUGGUCUGAGAGGAUGAUCAGCCACACUGGAACUGAGACACGGUCCAGACUCCUACGGGAGGCAGCAGUGGGGAAUAUUGCACAAUGGGGGAAACCCUGAUGCAGCCAUGCCGCGUGUGUGAAGAAGGCCUUCGGGUUGUAAAGCACUUUCAGUCGUGAGGAAGGCAUAUGCGUUAAUAGCGNAUGUGUUUGACGUUAGCGACAGAAGAAGCACCGGCUAACUCCGUGCCAGCAGCCGCGGUAAUACGGAGGGUGCGAGCGUUAAUCGGAAUUACUGGGCGUAAAGCGCAUGCAGGCGGCUUGUUAAGCCAGAUGUGAAAGCCCGGGGCUCAACCUCGGAAUAGCAUUUGGAACUGGCAGGCUAGAGUCUUGUAGAGGGGGGUAGAAUUUCAGGUGUAGCGGUGAAAUGCGUAGAGAUCUGAAGGAAUACCGGUGGCGAAGGCGGCCCCCUGGACAAAGACUGACGCUCAGAUGCGAAAGCGUGGGGAGCAAACAGGAUUAGAUACC